rnacentral:rRNA from 1 species
CUGACCGCGCAUACUACGUGAAGGAUGAAGGUCUACGGAUUGUAAACUUCUUUACCAGGGGUUACACUUUGGCAAAAAGUCACGACUAACUAUGUGCCAGCAGUCGCGGUAAGACAUAGGUGGCAAACGUUAUCCGGAUUUAUUGGGCGUAAAGGAUGCGUAGAUGGCGGAAUAAGUUAUCAGUAGAAGCUAGGCUCAACUUAACGGAAGCUGAUAAUACUAUUCUGCUAGAGGACAGGAGAGGUUGGCGGAACUCUAUGCGUAGGGGUGAAAUCCAUUGAUCUAUAGAGGACCACCAAAAAAGGCGAAGGCAGCCAACUAUUCUGCUCCUGACAUUGAGGCAUGAAAGCGUGGGGAGCAAAACGGAUUAGAUACCCGUGUAGUCCACGCCCUAAACGAUGAGCAUUAGACAUUAAGAAGUGAAUUAGUGUCGCAGCUAACGCUUUAAAUGCUCCGCCUGGGUAGUACGAUCGCAAGGUUGAAACUC